UUGAAUUCUGAGACGGGUUGUAGCUGGCCGUUUCGUUUGAGCGGCAUGUGCACGCCCUGCAUCAUUAUCCAUCUCACACACCUGUGCACAUACUGUAGGUCGGCUUUUGAUUGGAGUGGGGUCUUCAUCGACUCUGCUUUUUAGUUGGGGCCUUCCUAUGUUUUAUCAAACACUACUUCAGUUUAAAGAAUGUCCUCUUGCGUCUAACGCAUUUAAAUACAACUUUCAGCAACGGAUCUCUUGGCUCUCGCAUCGAUGAAGAACGCAGCGAAAUGCGAUAAGUAAUGUGAAUUGCAGAAUUCAGUGAAUCAUCGAAUCUUUGAACGCACCUUGCGCUCCUUGGUAUUCCGAGGAGCAUGCCUGUUUGAGUGUCAUGGAAUUCUCAACUCUAUUUACUUUUGUGAAUAGAGCUUGGACUUGGAGGUUUAUUGCCGGUACCUGUGAUCGGCUCCUCUUGAAUGCAUUAGCUCGAACCUUUUGUGGAUCAGCUUAUCGGUGUGAUAAAAAGGUCUACCCCGUUACGGUGAACCAAGUAAUUCGGCUUCCAACCGCCCUUCACGGAACAAUAACUUUAACCUUUGACCUCAAAUCAGGUAGAAUUACCCGCUAAACUUAACCAAAUCAUAAGCCCGAAAAAAA
rnacentral:rRNA from 1 species